ensembl:lncRNA
UCACACACAGCACUCAUCCAGAAGAGCCUGUCACCAAAGGAKUGAUGCACUUCACUCCUAAGAGGGAAGCAGCACUACAUUUAUUGCAGUAAGACAGCAACUUAACAAAGUUGACUAUUAAAUAAGAACAAUUUAAUGAGGUUCAAUUGGCAAGGUUCACUCAGUUAUUUACUGCAUGAAGGACAGGGUCGGAUGCAUGUGCAAUGGAGACCCUCCCGUUGAGUCACAAGGUUCAGACUGGACCCCCUUGCUUUMUAAACUCCUUCAGAGAGGAGCCUAGGUGCACCUGGAUCCAGUCCUACUCCCAGACUUGGUCAAUGGUUUAUGUCUAAAGGGGUGAGUGUGAAGGGAACCCUCCCAUUGAGUCACAAGGUUCAGACUGGACCCCCUUGCUUUCUAAACUCCUUCCAAGAGGAGCCUAGGUGCAGCUGAAUCCAGUCCUAGUCCCAGACUGGGUCAACGGUUUAUGUCUAAGGAAUUAUGUGUGCAAUUAGUCAGAGCUAUAACUCAGGAAAGUUUCACAAAGUUCACAAAAGUUCAGCAUGCUAUUAAUCACUUGCCAAGGAUCUGUCACAGGUAAGGAAUCUCUCUCAACCUCAAGGAGUAACCUUGAGAGGCAUUCCUGCUCAAGGGGAGGUUCUGCAGURCAGCCUGCUGACGUGCAGGAGAGCUCAAUGGGCUCUGGGCUGGCCUCUAUUUAUGGGGGGUAGAUGAUUGACUCUUGGUCAUAUUUGCAUACUAGACAGGCCUUAGUUGGCACAUGCUCAACUAGCCCCUACAUAUGUGCUGUUUACAGGGAGAUCAGGUUGAGGGGGAGAGAGCACAUUACUGGGGCAGUGGGGGAAGGAGCACACCGUCAGAGCCCUCCACACUACAUUCACUGUCAGCGCGCACACACACACACACGCACACACACAGAGUCAAGGCACACCAACACCCAGGGCCCCUCAACUUAGCUUCUGCGGUGCUCUGGGUCACCAUCCAUCCUCAAGAGGCAUCCUCAAUGGCAGUCACAUCCUCUCUAAUCUUCCUCCCAUCGCCUCAUUCACCAUCUGCGAAACCAGAGCACAAACAGUCACCCCCAGGCAAGUCAGCUCCAGCCUCAUCCACAAAAAUACCCUUCACAAAGUGCCAUGGGCACUCCACUCACCUUCAUCACACCAAUCCCAGACUCCAACAUGGUGCUUGGGGGGACACCUGCAGCACCUGGGAAAAAACAAAACAAAACAACAUUUCUCCUCUGCCAGGCAACACUCACCAACCCCACAACACCCAACACCAGUCAACAUUCCAGGCCAGCACUACUCUCCUCUGCAAGCUACCAUAGCUAACACCCACAGCCAAGACAGCUCCAGCCCCAGACAGACAGACACACACAUCAGACACAGACACAGUCAUGAAGGAAAGCCCUACACAGAAAGAACUAUUCCUACACAUAAGACACUGCCAGCCAGAAAGCCCUAUGAGGCCACAACCACGUGGCUCUGAUGCUCUGGACGAGCCCAGAAGAGAGUCAAACACCACUGCCUGUGACAGAAAAGGCCCAAAGCCAGGCAGAUCGACGCAGAAGAGGCCGGCAAGAAAAAACUAAGGACGUGACAACGCAGGAAAGAAAACCCUGAAAGGAGACCAGGAAGAGGCAAAACAAGGGCAGCCUCGGAAGAGGAGCAGCCGACAAGGUCUCGAAGAGGGCCACGGAGAUGACCAGCCACAAACGGCCACGACGCAAAGACGGAGCGACGGACAGCCCCUUUUAGCAGGCUGCACAGAACAAGAUGCCAUCCAUUGGCACAAAGCUGAUGAGUCAGGCCAAGCAAAAGACAACGGAUGCCUACCGCACUAGUGCUGUACAGUGUGGGCUGUGCUCCCUGAGCACAACGAACAAGAACAACAUCAAGACCUAAGCAAAAGAUAGCACAGCUACAACACACACCACAUAGACUACACAACACCACAGACACAGGCUAGAGCUGCCCUGCCUAGCACACCCUCACCUUCUGCCAGGCACACCCACCACCUCUGCCUCACACACAGCACUCAUCCAGAAGAGCCCUCCACACUACACUCACUGUCAGCACACACAUGCGCGCGCACACACACACACACACACACACACACAGAGUCAAGACACACCAACACCCAUGGCCUCUCAACUUAGCUUCCACAGUGCUCUGGGUCACCAUCUGUCUUCAAGACACAUCCUCAAUGGCAGCUGCAUCCUCUCUGAUCUUCCUCCGGUCACCUCAUUCGCCAUCAUCUGCGAAACCAAAGCACAAGCGCUCACCCCCAGGCCAGGCAGCUCCAGCCUCCUCCACAACAAUACCCUUCACAAACUGCCAUGGGCACUCCACUUACCUGCACUGCACCAAUUCCAAACUCCAACACUGUGGCUGGGGGGAGCCCACAGCACCUGSAAAGAACAAAACAAAAUUACUCCUCUGCCAGGCAGUGCUCACCAGCCCUWCAACACCCAACACCAAUCCGCUCACCUGACAUCCUCAGCCAUGCCUGGGAAAGGCCCACACGGUACCUGAAAAAGCAGAGCGAGAGACAUCACCGACAGACAGCCCAGCGCUACCCACCGCACAAUAAAACUCUGACCCAACAAGCGCCCCCUCCCA